rnacentral:lncRNA from 1 species
GUCUUCCCUUUGUAAGCAAAGGUAAUAAAUGCUCAAUGAGGAAAGAUUAUGAAUUUAUUCUUUCAUUUCGGCUUAACAUCUCUUAAUAAUUGUUUCCCUGUUUUUAAUACAAAAUUUGAGGUGAAGCCUUCUCUAAUGCUACGUGUCUUCAUCUUAGCAGAUCUCUAAAGCUUGGAGCGUAUGGUAACGGUUAGAAGUGGGAUUUGAGCCGCUGUACUGUGGCAGAGAAUGACGUCGCUGUACGUUCAUGGCUUCAGCUCUGGUUUUGUUUUAAGUGAUAAAUAAGACAGAGGAUACUUUGGGCUUCGGUUUGUAGACAAAACUCGUCUUGGGCUUAUGUCUUGUAGUCAUAGGAGAGCUGAGCCUUGUGUUGGCCCAGUUUUGGUUCAUUUAGUGAAACAGUGUCGUUUUGAGUUGUAACCGGAAAUAUCUCCUUCUUCCUUUGACUGUCGAUCUCGGUGUGGGUGGCUUAACGAGAUGUUAGGGCUAAUGUUAGUAUGUAGUGAUGUGCUGUUGAAGGUAGAUACACUUUAUACCUUCUUCCUGAAGCAGACGAAGCGAGCUGGAACGUACAAGGAAAGAGAAGAUGCCUCCUAAUCUACUUAUGGAUGUCAGAGUUGAUGGUCGAGCAUAGGUCCAUUAGCAGAUGGAAAGAAGAUUCUGCUUAGCGACACUGCAGAGUCAGAUCGGCCCCUACUAAUGAGAAGGCCUUGAAGGAAGUGAAGAUUGAGGCUUUCAGGGUUUAGUUAAGACUUUGCCGGUGACUCUUUUCCUCUCGCUUCGUAAAAAGAAAACUCUUCCAUACUAAGAUUAAUGAGAUUUUCCGGUAUACUUCCCAGUCGACUAUGUGAACAGCACAAAGCAAAGUUUUACCCUUUAGUGUCCAAUGAUAUCAAUGGUAUCUUUCUGUUUGUUACCAAACAGGAGGGAAGCUUUAUGGUUUCGUAGGUUUUCUUCUACUUUUUCUUCUACUUUAGGGUUUGAUAGAAUCGUCCGCUAUUACAGACUUUGAUUAUCUGUGGGGCAGUGCGUUAGACGAAGGAAGUAGCAAGGAAGAUGAAGACCGGAUAUUAAAAGGAAUAUUUCACAAAGCCGAAGCAUUACAAGCAUACAUAAAAGAGGAAGCCUACCGUAGACCCCCACACAAGACAAAGUUCACUAAUAACAUAGUACGUGAACACAAAAAGACAUAGAAAUAGAACAAAAGGAGAACAAAGAAAAGCCAUGCAGUACUUUGGGUCGACCGGACUCCUUAUUUAAAUAUUAGAAGAGAGUGGUUCUAGUCUCCCUGGCGCUGGAGAGCGUGUUCGAUAGUACACACAAUUAGGUAGUUCCGCUCCUGCAGGAGACCAGAAAUCCUUUGUUGCAGGCCGCGAAUGCGGUCCCGUAAGACUUGCAUCCUUGCACCCACAAAUUCCGGGUCCAGAGCAGGCGGGUGCUCCCAGAACAAGCCCAGCAUUUCCUCCCAGUGGAGCUUUGCGUUUUCCGCGGCUUCGAUUUCUUGUGGAAUGGUCGCCAGCCUGUUAUAGAUCUCCAUAUCAUCCAUCUCUCUUAACUUUCGACUUCUAAGUGUUCUCAAAUAUAGACGGAAAGCUGCUUCUAUUUAUAGGCAGGCUAGUCUUCUUAUCUUAACUUAAUGAGUCUUCUUACGUAACACGUUUAAUAUGGAACACCCUUUAGUCCGCUGAAGAAUUAAUUAAGUACGCUGAAGACUUUAAAGGCCCCAUCCAUCAAAGAGUUCUUUUUGGCGGGUAUUGCCACGCGGCUUAAUACCGAUCACUCCCUCAGAAAGAAGAGGCAAUAAUAGAACGCACAGUAGAGAGUACUCCCCCGCGUUUCUCGCAAAGCCCAGAGCACUCCUUACUCGACAGCUCCUGACCAGAGUCCUCGUUGGCCCUACUUGCAUUAGCUCUGCCUGCUCAGAGCUCGCUUUUCUUUGUCUAUUUUUGAUUGGCUGAUUCCCAGGUACAUAACAGCCCUCGGCCAAUCCUUACUCGACAGCUCCGUCCUUUCUUAGGUGAGCUAAGACCGAAGCUAGCUCUCUUGAAUUUCCCCGGAAAGACGGAACCUUUCCAGCUCACUCUGUCAGUCCACUAAGACGCGUAUAGAGUAAAUGAGCACUAGCAAUAACUUUUUCAGUACAAUAAGUCCCCUUCUCCACGACCACUUUUGUUUUUGGGCUUUCUUGGAUUCGUUUCCCCAGUAAUUCCAUUUUGGACUCGGAGGCUUUUCCAUUGGGCUCAGUAUCAUAAUUAUCCCAAAAGCCCCCUCUCCUCUAGCUUGCUUCUUUAAAAAACAAAGCACACUGCUUGUUAAUGGGCUUAUAUGGAUCAAAGCAUUAGAUAGAAUGCUAAGUCCAAUUCCUCAAUAUUCUUCUUCUUCAGUGGCCCAAGCAAGAUCAUCUAUCAGAGAGGAUAGGGUCCAAGGUCUGACUCUUAGAUAUAUCCCCUACUACGAGUUACUCCGUACCUCUGCCUAUUACUGAACAAUUACCUAAUGAGUGCGGGUAGCAUAAGACAAGGUGAGCAAAGAGAGGUCUCAAAAAGUAAAAAGACGGGUUUUACUUUUUGACACAGUUUUGCCCUCGUAUCUAGAAAAGGAUAAUUUACGGAAAUAGUAAAAGAUAGGACCUCCUAACUUUCCUGCUACGAGUGAUUAAAGACGGGGUUUACUCUAAAAAAACGUCAAAAUAUUGUACGGGAUUCCAUUCCCCGGUUGGUUUGUUUAAUCAAACAAGAGAAAGCACCUCUUUUCCAAAGGCAGACUCGGCUGUAAACAGAACAGAAUUAUUACUAAAAGGAUGUUAAUGACUUAUGGCUCCUGUCUUACUUUUCUGAUAGGGAAACGGAAAUCCAUAACUAGGGAUCCUCCUACGUGGACAUAAAGGGAUUGGAGACAGAGAAAGUGAUUGUGCUAAUACUAUAAUGGUUCGCUAGUUGCUCUCCCUUGUUCUCUAGGUUCGGUAACCUGGGUAAAGGCUGCCUUGCUUCCCGUUGUGGAAUCUUUUCUAAUCCUUUUGGCCGCUUCUUUCCACUCGGACCAUAGGGAAGUCAGAACGGAAACCAACAAAGGACAACACAAACAGUCUAUCUCGGCAGGAGCAGAGCGGCUACGCAAACCCGUCUGGCUAUUCAUAUUCCGACCUGAGGAGUAAGACUCUCGCAGCUACUCAGGGUAUUGAGCUACUACUAGGGAGGCUCCGGAGCUUUAACCAAAGGAGAGAAAAGUACCUACACCGGUUUAUACAACACCGGUUCACAGACUCAACUAUACAAUUCAUCACAAUCACAGAUGCAACUAUACAAUUCAUCACAUUACAUCACAAAAUUCCCCGGGAUCAAAUAGAGAUCAAACCCAUCUUACUUACCAAGUUGUGGAAAGGAGUUGGAUGUAAUGCCUUUGUGAGAACAUCUGCAAUUUGUAGAUCAGUUCGGAGAGAAGCUUGAAUAGACCUGCAACCAACUUCUAACACACAGUCGAUCUCUAUAUGUUUAGUACGCUGAAAACAGGAUAGCAAGAUGUCUGGCAGCAGUGUUAUCACAAAAGGGAGGAGCAGAAGAACUCAUUUGAAUGCCAAGUUCCUGCAAGAAAUUUGUGAGCCAAACCAUUUCACUUACAGCAGAUGCAAGGCUUCGAUAUUCUGCCUCUGCAGAAGACCUGGAGACAGUAUGCUCUUUCUUAGAGCGCCAAGAAACCAGAGAGGAACCAAUGAACAGAAGCCAGUUACAGAGCGCCGUGUGUCGGGACAAGAAGCCCAGUCAGAAUCAGCAAAAGCCUUGAGCUGAAGAUCAGAUGUAGCAGAAUAAAAAAGACCCUGCCCAACUGUCCCUUUCACAUAGUGUAAAACCUUGUAAACUGCCUGCAUCUGGGCUGUACGAGAUGCUGAUGAGAACUGGCUUAACCUGUUGACAGCAAAAGUGAGAUCUGGACGAGUAAUAGUCAGAUACAUCAACCUGCCAAUAAGCCUACGAUACAACUCUGCAUCAACCAGAUCACCACCAGAAUCCUUAGACAGAGAUUAGGUUCCAUAGGGAUAGAAGAGGUCUCAGCGAGCCAACAAACCUGUCUAGAUCCAGAGCAUAUUUGCGUUGACAAACUGAAAUACCCUCUGUAGACCGAGCAAUUUCAAGCCCAAGGAAGUAAGAGGACCGAGGUAUGAAGUUGCAACUGAUCUUCGAGAGUGUAUCAGCUGGAAAAAUAGCUUCUCUGCGCCAAGGAAAUCCGGAUCUCUCUACAUACUAUACGAAAAGCCUCUUUCUUCACAAAGCUGGACCUUCGUUCGGGCUAUUGGAAAGUCAGAAUUACAGAAGGAAACGAGCCUAAAACCACUUACUUCUGUUACCAGAUAUGGCUUUACGAGUUCCUUGUCAUGCUGAUAAGAGGCCAGUCGAUGAGGCUCUUGAACAAGUUCCCGGCGGAAGUUAGCCCUAUAAGCUAACCGCCUGCCAUGUCUACCCCGAAGGUAUCUUUGGUGCUGUUGUUCCUAAAAGUCUCUUCUUUAACUUUGUUUCCAACAACUUCCCCUGCUUUGUUGUUUCAGAAUUGAGAGGCACGAAAUAGCCCCCAAAAAAAGGCGAAAUCCACUAUUUCAUCAAUCAAAUUUUCGUUCGAGGGUUGAAAGCGCCAGAACUUUUGAAGAGUUUUCGCCCCAGGCCUGUCAUCCGGGGGAUCUCUUUAUGCUCGUCCACUCGGGGAUGACCCCUACUGAUCUCUCUCAUCGGAUCGAAUCGAAUCCACUCCUGAACUCCAGAAGCAAGAACGGACGGAUGCCCGAAGAGUUCUACCGUUGACGACAGCAGCGGGAAUGGAUUUCAAAUAGCAGCUGCUAACGACCACCGAGAAGGGCGAGUCAAGACUUCCAGUUUUAUGAAAUAGAAGAUCCAGAUCUUGGAGCACCUAAUCAACCAGUUGAGGAAGAGGAACGAAGGUACUCAGCCUCCUGGGGCAAGUGGGAGCGACACACUGAAUGAACCAACUCCAAUGGAGCAGGAUCAAGAAGAAGUGAAGCUACGUAAAAGUGAGCGUGGUAGAAUCUCUCGUCGUCGAUUUGAGAUUGAGGGAGAUCCGGGGAAUCUUAUUCUGUCACCCAAAACGACCACUCCUUCUGUCGGAAAAAGGACUUGCCCUAUAUUGAAAUGAAAUCGAAACGAAUGGAACCGCGACAGAGCACUCCCUAUCAUCAGGUAGUGCGCGCCAUUCAGAACUAUGAUAUCGUCUUCUAGUCUAUUCGGCAGGUCCAAGUUGUUUUGGUCUUAUAAGCUCAGGUUCUUGAGUUUUGGGAAUUUCCUUCCAUUGGCUGGUUAAAAUUCAAUACGGAUGGUGCUUCCAAGAGGAACCUUUUCUUGCAUGGUGCUGCAACGGGACAUUCUGGUAAGUCGGGUGCUGGUGGCCUUCUCCGAGACUGUUCAGGAACAUGGAUCUAUGGGUAUACCUGCAAAAUAGCUUUCUCUACGAGCCUACAAGCUUCACUUUGGUUUAGCUUCCAACUAAGGCUAAGGGAGUUGUUUCCACGGGAUUGAGUGAACGAGCUCAUAGCCCUCCACCCGUACCACAAAAGCGCUAAUUUAUAUAAAAAAGACCGGGAAAACGUGAAUCUAUCCCGAACAUUUCCUAAAAUACUGGAUAAACUGACUCAGAUCGGUCUCCCUCAAUCGAGAGGCUCGCUUGCUUCACUUCAACUUCAUAGAAGAGGGAAGGAGCUAUGCAUAGGGGUGAUUCCGGUGGAGAUGGAAUGAAUGCAUUGACAGUUCGGUCUGAUCCGUCUUAUUCGUAUAUCUUAUUAUGGGAUAUUUGCCUUAACGGAAUCAUUAGAAGGCUUUGGGCGGGGAAACCCAACUGCAAGACCAGAGGCUACUGAAAGGAAGAUACUAUCUCUUCUUGAGCUUCCGAUUGACAUACCGAGAUUGAUUCAAUGAAAGUCCCUAGCGCAGGUGAGACCUAAUUCUAUGUUUACUUUUCAUUCAAAUCAGCUUCCUGAUGACUAAAGAAGACUUUUAUCCUGGCGGUUGUUGGUCCAACGACUCUACUUCUUUCUUUUGAAAUAUCGUAAGAGAAGAAGGUUGACAAGAAGAAUAAUUUGUCUCCUGUGAUUGUAGUUCAAUCGGUCGUUUGUCUCUAGAAGAAAGAAGCCUACUUGUAGAAGAGAAGAAGCGGGGUAGAGGAAUUGGUCAACUCAUCAGGCUCAUGACCUGAAGAUUACAGGUUCGAAUCCUGUCCCCGCAUAAAGAACAAACAAACAAUAGAAAAAAUAAAAAAUGGGAUUUGAAGAGUCAAAGUCAAAUAAAUGAUCAUUCGGUGGGGACUGCUCCGCCGACAUUGGAACGAGGCCAACCGCUGCUUAUCACAACCUCUGGUGCCGGUGGAGGUUUGACCUCGGCGCCGAUGAGGAUUAACUAUGUGAGGAUUAAGGUGCCGGACGUCAUCCGCAACGUAAAGAUCGUGGUGCACAGUGUGUACUUGCCAUUUCCACAUAUUAAUCCUGUGGCUGCGGCUUACGAAGUAUCCUAGGAGGCUCAGAAGUCUCAGGAGGAGAUCAGACGAUGGAAGGAAGGAUUUCGAUCUUCGAUCUUCGUUACCAUUCCAAAGUUAAUUAUUUAGCUUUCGAUUAAGUGAGUGUUUGUUUGCUCAGACUCAGACUAAAAUGCGACUCUAUGCCUUCCCGGUAGAAAACGACCUCUGUGGCGGGAUUUACCAGGUCAAAUUCAACGGGACCCUAGCCUGCAGUCGUCAACCGGUCCGCUUCCUUGAAUGAGAGUAGGUCUUCCCGAUCCACGAAUACUGUCUGUUGUCCUUUACUUGUUUAGUGGCAUCUGGAAUUGUCUGUUUCGGUAUUCACUCUUGUAAAGGGCCGCGAACUAAGCUAAGCGCUUGGCUUGUCUUCUUAUAGGGUCCCAACCGACCAGUACAUUCAAUAUCGAAAUCCGUUACUGUUACAGAAGAGAAUUAAGAUAACGAGGCUUGGAGUAUCUAAAACUAAGUCCAGCGAACUGGAAGUCUCUUCAGACUCCCUCAUUGCUUGGCUAUCGAAGUGGACUUGUACCUUUUUCGCGUGCGUCGACACGACAAUGCUUACCUUUCUAGCUUUUACCCUUCUUCUCCGGAAGGAAUAGAAAGAAGACAACUAGAAUAAGGGGAACUACUCUAUAUAUUACAGCAGGAGAAAUUCCAACAUGAAAGAAAGCAGGCGGUGCACUUAAAUCUAAAUAGGGUGAGAAAGCU